rnacentral:lncRNA from 1 species
UAAGCCCUGCUCAGAAGUCAAGAGCAGCAGCGCUGCCGCCUCCGCGCGGCCUUUCAUGACGCCGUCGCUACUUAUUCUUGUGCCUCGGCCUCUCUGGUCGCCCCCGGACAAAGCCCCCGGAGCCCGGCCGCUCCCUUCCUGGUAAUUCCCCUUCGGGGUCAGCGUGCUACCAGCACCGGGCCCAGCGCUUCUCCUGCCAGCCGUGUGGCUCUUAAAGAGCAGCACCCCCCCUCCGCCCUGCGCGCUCCCCCGACCCCCGCCUCCCCGCCCCUCUCCUCUGGAUCUAGCCCCCCACCCCGACGCCUCAGGUCCGUGCUGCCCCGAC